AACGAACGCUGGCGGCAUGCCUAACACAUGCAAGUCGAACGAGACCUUCGGGUCUAGUGGCGCACGGGUGCGUAACGCGUGGGAACCUGCCUUUAGGUUCGGAAUAACUCAGAGAAAUUUGAGCUAAUACCGGAUAAUGUCUUCGGACCAAAGAUUUAUCGCCUUUAGAUGGGCCCGCGUUGGAUUAGCUAGUUGGUGGGUAAAGGCCUACCAAGGCGACGAUCCAUAGCUGGUCUGAGAGGAUGAUCAGCCACACUGGGACUGAGACACGGCCCAGACUCCUACGGGAGGCAGCAGUGGGGAAUAUUGGACAAUGGGCGAAAGCCUGAUCCAGCAAUGCCGCGUGAGUGACGAAGGCCUUAGGGUUGUAAAGCUCUUUUACCGAGAUGAUAAUGACAGUAUCGGGAGAAUAAGCUCCGGCUAACUCCGUGCCAGCAGCCGCGGUAAU
rnacentral:rRNA from 1 species